GAGCACGAGGCGGCCUCGCCCAGCGGCCCGACACCCCUCCGGCUGCGCUUCGACACCUCGGGACGCGGACUGGGGACCCCGGCCCGGGCAGGACCGCCCUCGGAGCGAUGCAACAGGUGCGGCGGGCGGCAGCCGGCAGACAGAGGCGGCCGACCGGGCACCCCUGGCGGCGCCGCCCCCACGCCCCGUGCCCGCUGGCGCGGUCUCUCUUCGGCACUCAGCGGGAGACCCUCACCGCAACAUGGCGGCGGACAGCGCCCCACCGGCACCUGCCCCUGCCGCCUGCGGGCGGGCCGCGCCCCACCCGGACGGGGCCGCAGCGCGGCGGGGUUGGCGGUUGCAGAGCUGGAGAGCGGGAGAGGGAAGGAAGAGCAUUUGCUGCUAGUGCACGGGCGACCCGUGGGCUUGGUCGCCGGUCUGUAACGGCUGCCGUGUCGUUUUGUUUCUUUUUUUGAAGCCCCAAAUCAAUUACUUCGAGCAAAAGGCAGGAUGGAUUUUUGUAUUAAAGCACAUAUUCAGCGUGAAAUAAAAGUUUGAAAAUCCACCUAAGUUUAGAAGCUACAAAGCGAGAAGGCUGCUUCAGCUGGCCGUGCUCUCGCAUCAUGAUUGUGCAACCUACCAAGCAACCCAUUCAUAGCCACGCAGACGUGACGCACUGUGCCUGUGCCCCCUGCUCCUUGCCCUUCAUCCACCGCCAUGCUCCUGCAGAGCCCCCAGCUGCUUUACCUGCAGGAGCUGCGGCCUCCCGCCCGCUGGGGUGUGAGAACAGAUCGUGUUUACGUUGUCACGGGCAACGGACCAUAGGACACAGGUCUUCCGGUGUGCCGGCAAUGGCAUGCAGGUGAGCUGCGAGGUUAAGGGAACGUGCAGAUCCAAGCUGCCGUCUUCAACAUCCUCGUUUCAAGAAAAGGAACGGGAAGCUUCAAGACAAGGUCCUGCAUCAGAGGUGGUGCUAGGCAGUCACUGGUAGUGCCACAUUCAAGUAAAAGAAUCGCCUUUGCUUCAGGUUUGAGAGAAGGGGGGGGAGCAGAGACUGGUAGAAUUCACAGCUAUAUUCUCUUCUUGUUGAGUGAUCCUAGGAAGCAGGAGAGGGAUUUACUGUCAAACCCGAGCCAUAUGUCAAGCAGCUUGCAAAAGCAGGUGAGAAUAAAACAGAGCUAAAUGGCUUCUGAGGGAGAUGAGAUAAAACAUUUUUGGGAAACAGCUGCAGCCUCUGUUUUCAGAUAGAACGAUCCCACUGAGAUGAACUUUAAUCAGAUUAAUUUAACAACAUACGGUUUGUGAGGAGACUUCCUCAUUUAAGCAAUAAGUUAAUGGUGGGACUCAUGCCUCAUUCAGUAGGAUGGUACUGGAUGUGGAGCAGGCUGGAACAUCACUGUUUUGGGCAGACUACUGAGGGCAAGAAACAAUUGUAAGGAAUGCUGUAAGAAGCUAGUUGUUGCUAGUUGGAACCCCAUGUGGUGGUCUUGGAUUAUUUUGGGGGGGCAUAUAGGUGCAAAAAGCAUAUAGGUAUUUUUCAUUCCUUCCUGUUAAUACCAUCAUUUGUCUUGAUCGAAAAAAGAAUUUUUAUUGCAGUUACCAUUGCUUCCUAACUACAAAGAGGCAGAGGCAAAAGGAAUUUAGGUGACUAAUAAUUAAAUGUGGCAACAUACAAUCUCUAGGUUCCUGUUUGCCACAGCACAUAACCCUGUGCCAUUCUCCCACAAUCACCUGCAGUAUAUGGGGAAAGAUAGAUACCUCAGUGGUAUCCAUAACUACCAGCUUACUCAACACCGCUCCACCCAAACCCAACCAACGAGAACAUGUUGAACCUAUACAGGCAGAACUGUCGUCUGUGGAAGGGGAAAGAACAAUUGCCAUGUUGGAGCGUUCGUUAGAGACCCUUAGGCUCCUUCCUGGGCUUUUGCCUUUUGCAAGGUGUGUUUUCAAACCACUUUUGCUACAGAGCACUGUGAGUUACUAAACUCUCGGUUCAGCAGGGCAGCAAGUUGUCUUUGUUGAAGUGAGAAACUCUCUUCUGGGUCCCUGAGUUUCUUCCUUUACAUUUCACUCCCUACUUCACUCCCCAAAUGGAUGGGAAGGUAUAUAAUGCUACCCCCUCCUUCCCUUUUAUACAAGUCUAUUCAUCCUUUGCAGAUGCAGUAGAACCAGACUAGGUCACGUCUCCAGAGAGGGGAUGAAAGCUAUCCGUUCUGUGGCUUUCUUGACAGUGUCCUGACAGUCAUCACACUGAAUUGUUGGAGCAUGGGCAUCGUGUGUAAUGCUGAUGAGCACUAUCUGAUAAUGCUUACAGACUGAAUCGCCAUUUGAGUCGGGAGUGAAGGAACAUGAGAGCAGGCAUGAAAUCAGCUCUCAUCAGGCAGUCUAGGGCAGAAGUAGAAAUAUGAAGAAACAGAUACAAAUGUAGAAGCUUGGGAGAUUUACGUACAAAAAAAAAAAUAAGAAUACACAGUUGGUUCUGGAGUUAGGCAUUAGCUAAGCAGGAGAAAGCUUUUAUAGGCACCCUAACUACAGCAUUUUGUGCCAGACCUCACAGUCAAGCAUAAGACCCAAAUCAAAAUGAAGCCUUUAAGUUACAGGAUUAACAGCUGCUCUGAUCCAACACUUGUUCUUAACCCGCUCUAUUAAGAGUAUAGCAUUACUAAUAACUUACAGGAAUUACUAAAGCAGGGGAGGUGAUGAAAGGACCUAGAUUGCUCAGCAGGUCAGUAGCAGGACCCAGUUUCUGUUUUCUUCCCUGUAACAGCUCCCCGGCCUUAGUGCCCUCUAACCAAACUGUAUUUUAGGAUCUUCCAUCUGUUUUAAGGAGAAAAACAAUUUAAUUCUGCUGUUCUGCUUGUAAUAACAUUUCAACUUGAUUUAAGCAUUUAUGAAUUCAAAGAAUUGGACAGAAUUUUCUCAAGAAAAUCCUAUCAUUAUAAAGUGGUUUUGCUUAACAGAUUUGGCGCUAGCCAUGUUUUAGUUAAAAUACAUCUUCCUAAGUGUGAUUAUCCUGAAAUUAGGAAGCAUGGACUCUUAUGUCCUAAAAACACCCCUCUUGGUUGCCCACGCAAAAUCAAUGGUCUCACUAAGAGGCAGGUUUGAAUUCCUUGUUUCUGAAUAUAAGAAGUGUUAUACACAUUUUCCAAGCAUGGUUGGAAUAGUCUUGCAGCAUCUCUGGUACUUUGUUUGCAGUUUUACUCCUGGGAUUUUUUCUAACUGGAAACAUAGAGUGACUUACUUUUGUCAACUUACAGGCCACGCAUUCAAUAUAGCAGAUAAAAGAAAGGAUACCAUAUUCUGAACCACUUUGUAUAGGUUUAAAAUCAAGAGGAUUGCUUUCUUUGUCAAUUCUAAGAGCUGUAGGAGGAAAAGUAAUCCUAUGGUAUUACUGACAGUAUCUUCUGUUUCGUUGUGCAUGACUGUGAAUAGGCAGUUCAUUCCCAGUUAGAAUUCCUGAAACACUGGCAUUAUAAUUCCCGCACUGUCACACUCCAGGAAGAGUGGCCAAGGAUCUGCCAAGUUCCCGUUCUGCUUGAACUGAGAGCUCCUUCCUUACUACUCCCACUGAGCUUAAUGAAAACCCGACAAAUUCAGGUCACAGCGGACGAGCGUUUUCUUUCAAAGCACUGUUGACAUUCUCCAGGUUUCUUUUGUUUCUUUUGAAGGGGAUAUACAUGGUAAAAGAGCCCAAAGCUUGUUCCUCAUUUUCUGUUGUUCCUUAAAUGAGAAGUUUCUGCCAAGUUCAAUUAACGUGUUUUUCCAGUAAGUGUGAGUUUGUGCUAAGAAAUAGGUGAAUUCAGGCCUGGAAAUAAACGCUGUUAAAUGAUCCAAUAGUUACAUGCUGGAAGACCCUUAUCUUUGCAUUCAUUUUGUUUUCCAGCUGCACCCACAAUUGUUCCUUGAGAUUACAUGAUGCUCCGCUUGACCAUCGUGGAGUUGUACAUACUAGAUGAAUGCAGUUUAAACAUGCAUGUGAGCAGGCAAGGAAAAGCUAUGGUAAUCGUCUCUGUAACUGAAAUCCACAGAGAAUUCUUGAUUUUAUUAAUGAAAAUAAAUAAAAAAAUAAAAAAGUAA